AUGCGUCGACGCCGAUUGCGUCACAGCGACGCGCCAAGUGCUGUCCCAAUUCCAAGGGUCCUUCAAAUGCGGCCUACGAAUGCAGCCUUCUUUUCCCGGAUUUGAAGGAUGCAUCGGCUGUAUCCUUCACGGCCCAACGUAUCCCAAGAUCCUUCACGGCCCAACGUAUCCCUCCCAAGAUUCAUUGCGCACUCAAUCGAUGGAGAUGGCGGAGAAUGGCGAUUUAAGUUUUGCAUUUAAAUGGAGCCAGCAGCAUACUGCUCGAUUUAUUCUAUUGAGGGGGGAGAACGAUGAGCGGUUCACCGGGGUGAAAUAGCCUACUCAGCAAGUGUGGCUUGGGGGAUUGCAAGUAUCCAGGGUCAGGAGAGGGGGUAGGUGGGAAACCCACUGCUGCCACUUGGCCCUGGUUUGUCCCCAUGGAUAAGGUAUUGG